rnacentral:lncRNA from 1 species
CGACGUGGCGCUUCAUGAUUGGCGGGAUUCGGUUAUUGGUAUUUGUUUAAAAUACAGUUAACAAUAGAAAAUAAUUUAAUAGAGGAGAGGGAUCGGAAGCAGGAGGCAAGCACCGGUUUCCUUCACCGCCUGAACCGGUUUAGUUCUUGCCAACCGGGGAGGCACACAUCUUUGUGUUAACAUGAAUACUUACAAGUUUCAUCCUCUCUCUCUCUCUCUCGUAUCUAAGUUUAAUCCUCUCUCUCUUCCUUCCAUGGAUGGUUGAAUUGAUACACUGCUCUUAUCCCAUCUCUGAAUUAGAUAAAUACGAAGCUGGAUCCAGUU